rnacentral:rRNA from 1 species
UUGAUCAUGGCUCAGAUUGAACGCUGGCGGCAGGCUUAACACAUGCAAGUUCGAGCGGAGAGAGGUAGCUUGCUACUGAUCUUAGCGGCGGACGGGUGAGUAAUACUUAGGAAUCUGGCUAUUAGUGGGGGACAACAUUUCGAACGGGAUGCUAAUACCGCAUACGUCCUACGGGAGAAAGCAGGGGAUCUUCGGACCUUGCGCUAAUAGAUGAGCCUAAGUCGGAUUAGCUAGUUGGUGGGGUAAAGGCCUACCAAGGCGACRAUCUGUAGCGGGUCGGAGAGGAUGAUCCGCCACACUGGGACUGARACACGGCCCAGACUCCUACGGGAGGCAGCAGUGGGGAAUAUUGGACAAUGGGGGGAACCCUGAUCCAGCCAUGCCGCGUGUGUGAAGAAGGCCUUAUGGUUGUAAAGCACUUUAAGCGAGGAGGAGGGUACUGGUAUUAAUACUACCAGGUACUGGACGUUACUCGCARAAUAAGCACCGGCUAACUCUGUGCCAGCAGCCGCGGUAAUACAGAGGGUGCGAGCGUUAAUCGGAUUUACUGGGCGUAAAGCGUGCGUAGGCGGCUAAUUGAGUCGGAUGUGA